rnacentral:sRNA from 1 species
AUUCCACUUCCGGUGUCUUGGUCUUAUCACUGUAACUUGAGCUGAGACUUUACUUCCAUGUCUCCCCCCACCCUCCAGAGUCCUCAGGGUUUCCACGAAAGCCCCCUUUCAUUGAGCCUACAAGCCUUGCUGGGAGGCACAGGCAGCGUCCACCCCAUGAUGUCCUCCCGCCGGCAUCCCGCAGCCUUCGCCUUCCUGGUUCACCUGUCGCUUACCUGUCUCGCUCUCUCACCUCUGCUGGUCAGCAGAUCUGAAUAUCUCUUUGUGAGGAGUCAGAGAAAGGAGAUGAUGCAAAGAGAAGGAAGCAAAAACAAAACUAAAAGAACUUUGAAGGUAUAUGAGAAGAAAAAGCUGAAAAGAAAAUGUCUGCCUCACUCCCUCAAAAAUUCUACCAUAGAGCAAAGGUUGACAUCCAGAAAACCUCAAGUUUAUCAGUCCCAGAUGCUGGCAGUAGAAGCAUAAAGCUGAGGUGAAUUUUCCUUACUAUUUUUUUCCCCAGAGUCUAGAACAGUAACUGCCUCCCAAUGUCUAUCACAGGGACCAGAUUUUCUCCACUACAUAGGAGGUGAUAUGUAGGCAGUUAAAUGGCAUUAUAGACACAAUAAGCAAAAUUGAAACAGAGACACCCUGUUGGAUAAAAUAUUUACAUCGGUGUCCUGUUUCCAAACUGUGGGCUGAGACCUAUAAAUGAGUCAUGAAAUCAACCUUUGCGGGUUGCAACCAGCAUUUUCACAAGAAGGGAUUAAGAAACAACUUCAGAAUGUAUCUUGUGUAGUAACAGUGACUACUGUUUUGCAAAAUGUUUGGGUCAGUUGUACACAUGCAUAUUUUACAGGGUGAUGUAAAAAUAAAAUGUUUUUUUUGAGACAGGGUCUCACUCUGUCUCCCAGGCUGAAGUGCAGUGGCUCCAUCACGGCUCACUGCAGCCUCAACCUCCUGGGCUCAAGCAAUCUUCCUGCCUCAGCCUCCUGUAUAUCUGGGACUACAGGUGUGCACCAUCAUGCCCAGCUAUUUAUUUCAUUUUUUUGUAGAGCCAGGGCCUCACUUUGUUACCCAGACUGGUCUCGAACUCCUGGGAUCAAGCAAUCCUCCCACAUCAGCCUCCCAAGGUGCUGGGAUAACAGGCGUGGGCCACCGUGCCUGGCCUGAAAUGUCUUUUUAACUGUAGGCUGGGGUCCGCAACGUUUGAGAAGCACUGAAAUACAGGGCAAUUUAUUCACUGUCCAAGAACAUUACUUCUAUGAUGUCUUCAGAUAAAUUUGAAAAUAUUUGUCUUACCCAAAAUUCCAGUUACAUAUCCAUUUUCAGGAUACUCUCUUCUGGGUGAGAUAAACUCAAUGCUGGCAGGUAUAGCAAGAAAACAAAAGACUCUGCCAAAUAUUGCUGCAGGGUGAGAACCACCAGCACAAUGUGGAAAUCCAGUGUAGGUAAAGAUUCGCCCCAAACGUGUGAUCAGGAAAUAAAACCUGUUAGGUGUCAAUGUCAUGAAGUUCAGUGUCCAAAUGUUGUCUUUCUUCUGGUAAUGGUUACUUUUUUUUUUUUUUUUUUUGAGAUAAGGUUUAGCUUUUGUCACUCAGGCUGGAGUGCAAUGGUGCGAUCUUGGCUCACUGCAACCUCCAUCUCCCGGGUUCAAGCGAUUCUCCUGCCUCAGCCUCCCGAGUAGUUGGGAUUACAGGCACCCGCCACCACGUCCAGCUAAUUUUUGUAUUUUUAGUAGAGAUGGGGUUUCACUAUGUUGGCCAGGCUGGUCUGGAACUCCUGACCUCAGGUGAUCCACCUGCCUCGGCCUUCCAAAGUGCUGGGAUUAUAGGGGUGAGCCACCGCACCUGGGGUGGUUACUGUUUAAAAAAAAAGUCACCUGACUCAGACCCACUGAGCACUUGGAGAACAUCUACAGGUAGAAAACAAAUGUUACAAAUAUUUAAAUAUCCUGAUGGUUUUGGAAGUCAAGGGGAGAGAGAUCUUACCUCUGUCUACCACCCGACCCUCUCCACCAAGGUCACUAUAAAUACAAAGAGCAUAGCUUGGGCUACAGGAAAGAAGGCAUUCAUAUGUAUAAAUGUGUGUGUAUAUAUACACUGUUUUUUCUUUUUUAAGAGACUGGGUCUCCCUCUGUCACCCAGGCUGGAGCGCAGUGGUACGAUCAUAGCUCACUGCAGCCUCCAAAGGUGGGGCUGAAGUGAUCCUCCUACCUCAACCUCCCUAGUAGCUGGGAUUAAAGAUACACACCACCACAUGGCUAAGAAGGCAUUCUAGCCCUGAGUGGUGGUGACACAGGUUAUAUACUUGAAGUAUACACACACACAUAUAUAUGUAUACACCCAUAUGUAAAUAUAACACAAAAAACUAUGUAUUUCACUCUAUGUAUAUAUAUUUACCAUUUUAACCGUUUUUAAGUGUACAACUCAAUGGCAUUAAAUACAUUGUUGUGCAACCAACAUCACCAUCCGUCUCCAGGACUUUUUUGGCAUCCCAAACGGAAACUCCAUAGCCAUUAAACAACAAUUUCUCAUUUCCCCUUCCCUCCAGCCAUGGGCAACCACCAUGCUACUUUCUGACUCUAUGAAUUUCACUACUCUGGCUACCUCAUAUAAGUGGAACUGUACUGUACUGGUCCUUUUAUGUCUGACUUAUUUCACUUAGCAUAAUGUUUUUGAAGGUUCGUCUAUGUUGUAGUGUGUGUCAGAAUUUGCUUCCUUUUUUAGGCUGAAAAAUAAACGAUUCACAGUAUAUUUUU